UUUAAAGAUGUAGUAAAUUGAAAUGAGAAGCCAUGACUGUGGACUGAGUUCCUUGUGGGACCCAAACAAGAUCAGACCAAACCAAAUAGAUUAAUCUGUCUAACAGACUGAAAAGUUAAGGAAGCAGUUAGAGCCCAAACACAGCCAAGAGAGUCUACAAACAAGAAAUUCCAGUCACCACAGGGAGGAAAUACCUUCUGCUUUAAUCUUUACAGAAAAAAAAAACUGUAGUCUCCUGUCACCAGGCAAAUCUCCCCGCCCCGUAGUGCUGUUUCCUUGACCCUCUCUCAAACCCAGAUUCGCCCCUGUCCAACAGGAGCUGCCAUUCUCCUCUGCAGAAUGAAGACUUCCAGCAUUCGAAGGGCAAGGUAACUAAACUUUGGUCACCAGAGAAGUGCUGACUUAAAUCUGCAAAACAAACUUCACUGUUGCUCACCUGCUUUUCCUGGCUCUCUCAAAGACGGUAUAUUAAACAACCUGAACUCUA